UAUAAAAAAUCCUAAAACACGACCUUUAAACCCUCCAACUCUUCAGUUACACUCUAUCUGUUAAAAUCAAACUCUUCAAAUCCUAUUCAAAUGUUUAAAAAGAAAAACCACAUUCCACUUCAAAUCCUUUUACCCCACUUGCAUGCAUUAUUCUGUGAAGUUAAGGCUAAAUUAAGUUUUUAUCUUCUUCUUCUAUAGUCUUUAUUCAAGGUACUAUGGCACCCAAGGCUACACUAAAGAAGGGAGUAUAAUCCAGGUUGAGAGAUGAGUCUCCCGAGUGGAGUGGAUCUGUUGAGGAGUACCUUAUGUGUGCGAAAAGUCCACCCUUGUCUCCACGCCAAACUAGGGGAUAGGCAUAGAGGCAAGCUGCAGCCAAGAAAGCUACUCAGUCAUCACCAUAUACUAUUCAUUCGGGAUCUCUGCCUUCACCACCACAGGCACGGCAGUUAGGGCCCUAGAAUUUACCAGCUCAUUUUAUCCGGACUAGGCCUCGAGUGUAGUCAGUCAUGACUUCACCACCACACUAUCCCCAGUCUGAUGAGGGAGAGGAUGAAUCAAGUUAUGGUUCUGGUGAGGAGGAGUAUUCAGCUGGAGCCCAGUCUAAGGAGGGGUCAGAGUCUGCUUUUGGUAUGAUAGUGAGAUUUUAUUCAAUUUAGAGGCAUCUCAGUCUAAUAAGGGUGUUGAUGUAGUUCAAGUUACUUAGGAGGUUUCUUCUUCAUCUCAGAGUGCUCAAGAUAUUUUUUCUUCAACAUCUGCUACCUAGGAGUCAAAGUCCACACAGUCUUCAUAGUCCUACGUGCUUAGCUUAUUUUGAGAUGGUGUUUUAAGGGAAUGUAGAGUAUUAAUAACAAAGACAACACUAUUGCUGAGCAGGGUAGACCAUAAUGCGGUAUUAUGGAGGAGACCCAAAUUGAUUUGGUCACUUUGGUAGGUACUUCAUGCAUACAGGUUGUAUUUGAGAGAUAUUGAUUUGGAUGGAUGAUGCAACCAUUAGGUUCUUACUUCCCGAUAAUUGUCCAGGAGUUCUAUGAUUCAUAUAUGGCGUUAGUGUAUUUAGUUACCCUAGUUGAGAGGGGAGGAAUGGACCAGCCCCCAAAGACUCAUAACUAGUCAGAAUGGUGAGGGUCGAUGUAUAUGAUGAGAUAAUUAGGCGGUUCUUAUUUGGGCCAGAGUUUAUGAGGCUGGCCACCAUAGAUGAUUUUGAUUAUCAUUUGAGGCUAGUGAGGAGUAGGUGUACGAUGCGAGAUACUAAGUAAGUAAUGCAGAGAGUAGACUUGACUAGAUGGGUAGCCAAGUAGAUUAUAGAGUUAGGUAUUGAUAUCUUUUGGGUUGAGAAGGCAUUGUUGCAUUUUACAACAAAGUCUUGGUGGACGAUAGUGAGGUAGCAUUUAAGUCCAACAUCUACGAAAAACAUGCUCACUUGCGAUAGAGUUGAACUGAUUGCCAGCCUGAUAGCUGGCUAUGAUAUUGACUUUCCUAGGUGGAUCCGAGCUGAGAAGGCAUUCUACGAGUUCAUCACCCUUCCCUUCCCUUGUCUAGUGCAAAGAUUAUGUGAUGCGGCCGGAGUGCCGACUACUCUUGAUGUUGAUCGGAGGUUCAAGGCCACCUCCAUGGUGAAUAUUGGUUUUGUUAUGAAUGCGUCCAAUCCUAUUAUGAUACAGAAAGCACAGUCAUUUACUUCUUCAGGUGCGGUCUACUUUGAGGGGCCUUUUAUAUCUGCCAAGUAGGUUGAGAGGCCGACAUUAGUUGUGGAUAUUGAUACAAGCAAUCAGUGGGUAGAGCCUAGUGCUACUACAAGUAGUGAGAAGGUUGUGGGCACUUCAGCAUUGUCCUCGGCAUCUACUUUGUCCCCUCGCCCACCAGUUAAAGGUUUUGUUAGUGUGCCUCAGGAUUUUUUAUUUCAGCUAGUGGAUCGACUGUAGGAGUUGAAUGACUGCCCAGGCACAUACAGAUACCCGAUUGGCUAUAUUAUUUGGUCAGAUCAGGCCAUGGGUCAGGACCACAUUAGAGGCUUAAGAGGAUAAAUUUAAGGGCAUAAUGAUGGCUUCCAUAAAGUGGUUCGUUAGAAAGCUGCAUGGGUAGAUUGACAUUUUUAGGCUCGGAUGGGAGUACAACUUUGUGAGGUCCAGGCACCUAAUUUAUCAAGCCUACGUGAAGAGGUGGCCAUAUUGAGAUCUGAGGUGCGCUCGUUAACUGAGACCCACAUUCUAGUCAUCCCUCCGGUGAUUCCUUCUUUUACAAAACCUCUAUCAAGACCUCCACCUAUGGUUUUUGAAUUAUUUGUUAAGGAUGAUGAGGCCUGCCUAUGUGGUCUAAGAGAGGAUGUUAGGCAGAGGAGUUAGGUGAAUCUAAGGAGUUCUAGUGGGCCUUGAAAAAGGCCACCGCAGAGUUGAGAGUUCAGCAUGUGGUGGAUAAAGAUAGGCAUGCCUAGAUGGCAUUGGGCACCUCUUCUAGUCACUCACCACUACCACCUCCUGAUGAUAAGGCACGUGAUACCUCAGAUGGAGGUGAGCCAACUUUUGAUGCCUAGAUUGUCCCAGGUAUGUACCUACACCCUUUUGUUAUUUAGUUUCUAGUAUACGCUAGGGACAGUGCAUUAACUUUCAUUUGGGGGUGGGGGUGUACCACCAUAAGGGUUUUUGUUGUCGUGUUUCUUUUUUCAUCGGAUGCUUUAUCGAAGUUAAAAUAGGCAUGUUUAGGUAGUGUUUGUGUCGUAAUAUGUGUUAUGUGUUGUUUUAUUUAAUUAGAAGAAAAAUAAGUAACCUAAGUGCAAUUGACAUGUUUUGUUUUUUGUUUGUAAAAGUUUGGAAAUAGGAUACCCCUCCAAAAAAAAUUAUGAACCGUGUUUAUAAAUAUAUGUUUGACCAUUGUUUUAAUCUUGUUAUGGCAUUAGUAUUAGGGAGAAAAUAAUCAAAGUUUAGCAUUGCAUGAACUGGAUAGGCAGUAACUGAUAAUAUAACCCUAUACCAUAUGUAUGUGAGGAAUUUGCCUAGUUCACUUUGUGCAUUUAAUCCAAAACUUACCCAGUUAGUUUUUUGUAGGUUGUAGGAUAAUUGGUUGGGACAUGAUCAUAGGUCAUUUUUAAAUUAGUCCACUCUUAGCCAAAAAGACUGUCCAAAUAAGAAAGUAUCCUUUGAUCCCUGAUGUGAGCCUAAGUUGUCCUAUUUUCUUAUUUUAAACCUUUUCACCUUCUUAUUUAAUUAUAAUGAACUUGUGUUGGCCAUAGUCCUCCUUGGACAUUGUGCACCUCAACUCAGGCAAUUCACCUAAGUUGAGGGUGACUAUCAUAGGGGUGCGUAGUUGAAAAUAGGUAUAAAAAAAGGUCUUGAGAAAAUUUAAAAAAAAAAUAGGGUUGGGUGUGGUAGAAACAUGUGAAAAAAUAAAAAAAAAGAAAAAAGAAGAGAAAAAAAGAAGAAGUGAAUAAAUGCAAAUCAAGAAGAAAACCACAGCUGAUCUGAAUAAGUAACAAAUGAGAAAAAGGGAGAAAUAAGAAAAUGAUGGUUGAGUAGUGGAAGCAAACAAGGUAAGGGGAGUGUCAAGGAGGGUGAGUCACUAUAUACCAAAUAUGUACCUGCCCUUAAUCCUACAUUACCAGCCUAAAAAAGUCCUAUGGUGAUCCUAGUCCAACUGUCUGAGAAACACAGAUAUAGAAAAUAAGGGCAAGCUUAUGGUAUUUUAUGCACAUUAUUGGAACCUCUUUUGAAAGCGUGAAUGACAUGAUAUCGUCCCCGCAUUGACAUAUAUUAUUAUACUGUGAGAGUUGGUACUUCUUUUUUAUGAGGGUACAUGAGUUGUAGUGUUAACUGCUUAUCUGUUCGGGUGGUAUAAAUUGCAUAUACGCUUGGUUGUUUGUCGUUAAUAUAAUGCCAUCACUUGAUUCCUUUGUGUCAUACUGUUGAUUCCUUUGUGUCAUACUGUUGUGCUACAUGGAUCGAUACAGUGGUUUUAAAACUCGUAAAUAGGAGGGGGUAAGAUGUUUGAGCUAAAUUAAGUUGACUGACGUAGGUGCCUUAGGUUUUUUUUAGUUAAGCAUCAUGUUUUUUUAAUUAUGUGUUAGUUGCCUGAGGACAUGCAAAUGUUCUAACUUGAGGGUGUUGAUGGGCUAUGUUUCAUGGCGCUUUUGAUGCUUAAAACAAGGAAAUUAUGCAAGUACUUAGGUCUGUUUGUUAGAUGUGAUGCGUUUUUGUGUUAGUUUUGAAGGAAAAUAGAGUUUGGAGUAGAGACAGAGCAACAGAGGAUGAAAGAAAGCAAGAAAUCUACUUACAAGCCCUACCUAUGGGUCGUAGGUAGUACCUACUGGCCUAUAGGUUGGCUUCGUUGGUAGGAUCCUGAAAAGUUCUUCAAGUUGCUGUAUUUUAUGAGUCCUACAAAGCCUACCUACCAGGCGUAGGUAGUAACUACGGCCCCGUAUGUACCCCUUUAGGUAGAAGUUCUGAAAGUUGAAUACCCCUUUGAUUUCUAUGAACCUACCUACGGACCGUAGGUACUACCUACAACCCGUAAGUGGGGUCAUAGGUUGGUGCCGACUCUAUAUUCCUUCUUUGUUUGGGAUAGGUUUUAUAGGUUUUCUGAUGUAUCUAUAAAUACCCAUUGGAUGUUUCAUUAAUAUUUUACGCACUCUAUACACUUAUUACAUUGUUUUGAGUUCUAAGAUACACUUUUGAUUUUGGAAUUCUUGUUCUUGGUUUAAUAGGGUUUGAUAUUAAUUUGAUAUUUUGGUUUUCAUUCUUAAUUAUUUGUGAGAUCAUUCGUAUGCUUUUAGUUAUGAAUACUGUGCAUAUUCUUACAAUCAUGAGCUACUAAACCCCAUAACUAGGGUUGUAGGAACCCUGAUGCUGAUGGAUUGACAAAGUAGAGAAAGUGCAAAGUCGGUCUUGAUUGGUGUUCUUGCAUGUAUUGUGAUUUCUUUCAUAUUGAUUGCUUUUUAAUGGUUAAAACGUCAAGAACCCAUUUGUUCUUGAUACUAACUCGAGAGAGAGGUUGAUAUUGGGAAAAAAAAGAUCCCAACAGUAAUUUAAAGCUACCAAUCUUCAUCUAAUUAACUUGACACCGAGAGAAGAUAGUUAAUUUGGGAUCUAGGACAAAGGUUAGCAAUACGACACUCUGAGACCGAGUGGAGAUGAGUGAAAUUCACCCAAACCAAAGUCGAGAGAGAAUUAGGUGAUACAUAGCUUGCUAGAUUCUAUAUGCAAAGCGCCGAGAUAGUUUGACAAGCACGAUAAGUCAGUGGAGUUAAAAAGUCAGGGGGAGCACAAUCUGAGUGACCAUCUGAUACUGAUAACAACCCUAUUUGCCAGCAUUGUUACUAUUACUUUUAUUCUUACAAAAUCCCCUAUUCACUUGCUUCACUUUCCAGCUAUAUCAGCAAUCUCGUGAUAGAUUUUUGUCCUAUUCCCUGUGGGAUUGACCACAACUUUGUUGAGUUCUAUAUUUGACUAUUGACCAUGUUAUACAUUUUAGGAGGUGUAAUUAGGGUGACAUCAUUGCUUGGAAAUGUACCUUUUUAACAUUGGUUCAGAGCUAAAGAAAUUUGGCCAAAUUGCUGCUCAAGUUUCUUAAUAGGGGUAGAAUGAGACUUUUUAAUUUAUCCCAAAAAUAUUUGCUCGAAUCUCUUAAAGACUUUUAUCAAUUUUCUCCACCUCUUUCAAUGUUUUAGAUAGCAGAUCCUCCACCCUCGAAUUACUCGAUUCAACAUCACAACAGAUCCUCCACCCUUGAAUUUCUCGAUUCAACAUCACAACUACCAGGUGAUAUGCCAUAGCUUUAUAAAAUUUUCGACACUAAAAAUAAAGAAAAUAUUAAAGAACUGAGGUAUAUUUAUAAAUAUGAUAUAUUUGUUUAAGCUUUAUACGGGAAAAUAGGUCUUGGUAGUAGACGAAUGAAAAAGAGCUAAAAUUGGCUUAAGUAUUGACAUUUGGUGCCUGGCCAUGACUUGUUGGGUCAUGUUAUGAGUCGUGGCGUGAUUCGUACUAAAGAUUGUGCCCAAAGUUUUGAAGAUAUAUAAGUCAAUAUGUUUGCUAAGGUUCAUGCUACAAAUCAUUGGGAUAGGGGACGAGUCGUCACCUGGCUCACCCUAAAGAAAUAUUUCAAAAGUCUCGAAGGGGUGUAAUUUUUUCCCAGUGAAAAUAACUUCGCCCUACGAGUCGUUGGUAAAGUUUACAAGUUAUUGCUAGACUCGUAUUGAGCAAAAGAGGCCAAAGUCUUAAAAGUCCCCAAAAAAAUAAGUCAUCAGAUGGGUCGUACCAUCUGGUAAUGGUAAUGACUCAUUGAUUGACCCAUAGAGACUGGCACUAAUACAAAAUCUUGUACUCCCUCCAUUUCGGAAUAAGUGAAUUGUUGGGGUAUUUAUUGGUGUUUCAAAAUAAGUGAAUCAUUGAAUUUUUUUUCAAAGUUACCCUUAUAAUUUGACAAGCAAUUAAUUUUCGAAAAGGUAUUAAAGGUCAACUUUUGCUUUUUGGAGGGUAAAAAUGGAAAGUUGUGUUAAAUUUAUGUCUUUUGCUUUUUCCUUAAUCUGUGUGCCAAAAUCCAAUAAUUCAUUUAUUAUGAAACGGAGGAAGUAUUUUGUUUCUUUGUUUUUGGUACAUACUGAUGUUUGCCCUCCACAGGUACCAUGAAACCAAAGAAUAUGAUUAAUAAAUGCGUAAAGAAAGGGGAAAAGCCUACCCAAACCAGGGACUAGACUAAGGAAACAUCCACCCGAUAGGUGGUAUAAGAGUACUGACAAAUAUAGUGGCUCAGUGGAGGAGUAUCAAUUCAUGACAUCAAAAUUGGUAUGAGAGUACUGACAAAUAGAAUGGCUCAGUGGAGGAGUAUUGAUUCAUGACUUUAGUUAAUCCAUGCCAAUAUUUACCUGAGACAUGGAGAUCGAGGCCCUGAACAACGAAUGCAGGGGUGACCCCACCACAUACACCUAAAGGAACUCCCCAUUCUGGAGAGGGAGAAAAUUCAGAGUCCAAUAAAGAUGACGACGUAAGCAAAUUCAAAAGCAAAGAUGGGUCUGCAUCUGAUAGCCCCUCAAAAUAUUAAACAAGGUAGAGGCAUAGUACACAGGUGUCUAGUGAGGCUAAUGAUGAAACCUUCAUAAAAUCAGCCUUCCCCACAGAAUUAGCCUUCACCACAAAGUCAACCCUCACUCUAAAUUUAGGAAGCUCCCUAUAUUGAGAGAUAGGGUAUUCAGGGUAUGCAGACAAUCUAUAAUCGAGGCAUUACAAUCAAUCAAAACACGAGUCGACCAAAGAGGAUCUUCUAUGAGGAGCCGAGAUUGAUCACUAUGAGUUUGUGAGGUUUUCAAUAACUAUAUGUUUAGAUAGAUAACAGAGUAGCUAGGUAGAUUAGUCAUGCACUUGUUUGAGAGUUCUAUGUUACUUAAAGGUGUUGGCUCUGCAGGGUUUUGUUAUGGAGGAUGCAAUAUCCAUUUACGAGUGUUAUAAUUUGAGAUAAUCAGAUAGACAAGAUGAGAAAGGUAAGGCUGGAGCAAAUUAGUACUGAUGACAACAUGGUUCAUUUUCGUUGGAUGGCGAAUAUUUUUGUCAUUGCAAAGAAAGAUGUUGAAUGGAAAGCCGAUAGAUUGUCGCAAAUAAAGAAAGGUUGACUGUCUGGGACAUCUGGGAUAAAGCUAUGGAGAUAUGACAAGCAUCAUAUUCCCAUGUUAAGAGAGUCUCAAAUUGAGGUCGCGAGGCCCGAGCCCCAUACUAUUACUUUUGCUAAGACCUUAUCUACUUUAUAGCGGACCUCAGUCGUGGUUUCAUCGACUCCUACUCUUGGUGUAUCAAUGAUUCACCCACUUGAUGGUGGGUAGGUUAUAGUUCUACAGGACUUCUUGCAGAAAGCUCUAAAGAGUUGAUCAAUGUUGAGUGAAGAGUGGACAACAUUGAAGGAAGGGUCAGAUCUUGGGUAAAAAUUGAGAUUAAGACAGAAAUGGGAGUGAUAAAGACCCAAUUUGAUAGUUUUGAAUGGAGACUGAAUACUAAGCUCGAGGGUAUUUAGUCCUCAUAUUUGAUCGAGAUCAAAGAGGAGUCUGCUUCACUAUGGUCAGCAUUCCAAGAUCAUGCGAAUUAUAAUAUCGCAUACCAACCCCUCUAUGGUAAACUCUAUAACGAGAGUUUUAUAACUCAGUUUCAGGUGUCGGAAGUUGCUACGACUCCUAACUCAUUAUCUAUCUAAUUAUCACAUCAAACAUCUCUACCAAUAUAUUUACUGGAUUUUUAUAGACUAACACACCCUCAAGAAUCAUCCAGUCCUAGACUAGCCCUGAAUUUCUCGAAAUUCGGCUAACGGAGGACUAAGUGCAAAUUUUAUCCCCUCUUUCAGUAUAACAACUACUUGGGUCAUUAUAGUCAUGAGUAAAAGCGACUCCAAACUAUAAUAGAAUAUGAAAUAUACAACUACCUGUCUCUGAAGUAAAAUAAAGAAAUAAUUAUCAUAGAAGAAAUUGAGAACAUGCUAUGGACGGGGAGAUCAGAAAUUGAGAACAUGCUAUGGACGGGGAGAUCACCACAAUUUUUAUAGAUCCCAAGGCUGCAUGAUCACUAUCCACAAAUGAAACUCAAACUAGGAUUUGCACCAAAGGGGUACAAAAAAGUAGGAGUGAGUACGAUCCACUUAUACUCAAUAGGCAUCAUAGGUCGACCAAGCUAAGUAGACAACUAAAGAAGUAAAGCAAACUACGGGUAUCACGUCAGCCCUACAAACAAAAAAAAUUCUCAACGAAUCAACUGUAGAGCUCUUAACAAUAUAAUAUAUCAAUCUUCACAAACAUAUAAGUAUAUCAAAACCACAUAUACAGAUAUCCAAAUCACUAAAUCAUCCAUAUAGAAGAGAUGCAUUGUAGGCAACACGGUAAUAUGGUACGAAUGCAGUUUCAUAUGCUCACUUCUUAUACAACUUCUAAGCCUAAGCUUUCAGGAUAGGACCCAUAGGAAUUCACAACCCAUAUACUAGGCACACCUUAUCAAGCAACUUUCCUGACACUUCCCUUGAUUAAAGAAAUAUAUAAAAUGGUUCAUUUUUCUUUUGUAGAGAUUUUAACUUCAAUAGUAUUGCCAGAUCCAUAAAGAAUAAGAUAUAAUGAGCGUGAAUGAUCAUUGAUUAAACAAGGAUAUACUAAUUAGUUCAACAAUGUAUAAGUGAAAUUCAAAUCUCUCAAUAAUCAGUGAUUCAUGAUUUAAGCCACCACUCGGGCAAUAAUGAAAUAAAAUCAAGAUAAAGAUAGAAAUUCACACAAGCCCCUACUAGGGCAUCACAAUAGCCAAAAAAAAGUAAAUAAGACACUAAUAAAAUUCACACAGCCCUCAAGAGGACAACACGAUAAUAAUAAUUAACUCAAAUAAUGUAGACAAUAAGAUAUUUCCCCAUCCAUGAUAUGUUUUACAUGAUCAGCUAUCUAUCCCGUCCAGUCUAUAGAAAGUUAAGUCAUAACCUACCCGGAAAACCAAAAACAUGAUCUUGAACCCCUCAACAAGAAGU